rnacentral:rRNA from 1 species
GUCCACGCCCUAAACGAUGUCUACUAGUUGUCGGGUUUUAAUUAACUUGGUAACGCAGCUAACGCGUGAAGUAGACCGCCUGGGGAGUACGGUCGCAAGAUUAAAACUCAAAGGAAUUGACGGGGACCCGCACAAGCGGUGGAUGAUGUGGAUUAAUUCGAUGCAACGCGAAAAACCUUACCUACCCUUGACAUGGCAGGAAUCCUGGAGAGAUCUGGGAGUGCUCGAAAGAGAACCUGCACACAGGUGCUGCAUGGCUGUCGU